rnacentral:rRNA from 1 species
ACGGGCGGUGUGUGCAAGGAGCAGGGACGUAUUCACCGCGCUGUGUUGAAACGCGAUUACUACGGAUUCCAGCUUCAUGAGGGCGAGUUGCAGCCCUCAAUCCGGACUUCGAUUGGGUUUAGGAGAUUGCCUUCACCUUCCGGUGUUGAUUCCCAUUGUCCCAACCAUUGUAGCCCGCGUGUAGCCCGGGAGUUUCGGAGCAUACUGACCUACCGUAACCCGCCCCUUCCUCCGCUUUAGCAGCGGCGGUCCCCA